UUAUGUGAUUUAAAAUUAAUAAAAAGAAUCUUCAAAAAAACUUAUGAAUGAAAACUAGUCCAUAAGAAUAGAUGAUACCUGUUUCUUCAAUAAGAAUGUAAUUAACUCUCCUUUUAACAAUAAUUUCCAGAACAUGGAUUGUUGUGGGUUAUGUUUACAAAAAGCGGAAUUAAAUUAUCUUAGUUGCCCAGAAAGCUUGGGAAUCCUAGAAAACUUUCUCCAACAGACGAGCAAAUGGUUUAUGGAAACACUCAUGCUUUGUGAAACAUGCCAAGACAAUGCAGAAUCUGUGAAAACAUUAAUGACAAAUAUUCAGGAAUCAACUGCAAAAAUUCAAGCAGUCAUGAAAGAGUCUGGUCUUGAUACUAUUGAUCUUCAGAGACUUCAUAAGAAUGUUGGUAUAGUCACUGGCAAUAGAUCUGUCUGCAGAUUGUGCCUCAAGGUUUUUGGUAAAGCAAGGAUAUUCCUGUAUGAAAACGGGGUCAAUAUACUAGACCACGAUCUCAUCAAAAGUAUGUUCAACUUUUGUAAUAUAACAUUGGACUUGCAAAUUUCGAAAAAUCCAGUGAUGUGUUUUGAUUGUUGGCAACUUCUUCAAGCUUCCUAUAGCUUCAAAAAGGACUAUCUUGAAACUGAUAGAAAGAUCCGGUUAUACUGCAAGGUCUUCAGAAUUAGAAGGAGAACCUUAGACAACAGCUCUCUGCAUAAAGUUGGUUUAUAUUUCAAUGAAGAAGUCCCUUCUGAUAUGCAGUUGAUCAAUAAUAAUGAAAGUUCCUUAAGUGAACAUAAAAUAGAAGUGAAACAGGAAUUUGACUCUCCUAGUAUAAAUCAUAUCAAACGGGAGUAUCCUCAACGAAUCAAAAGGGAGUAUCCAGGGUCUACAAAUUCAUCAAAAUUAAUAAAAGUACUCUCUAGAAAGCGGCACUUUAGUUCGGAAGAUGACAGGGUAUUAUUGAGAAUUUACUUCGAAAAAGAUAUGGUAGAAAAUUCCUCAUUCGGGGUAUGGAAAGAAUUACAAAAAAAUUUCAAUGAACUCAGAGCCAAUAGACAAUCGAGUGUUAUGUCACUACGGUACAGAAUAGGUGCUCUUUUGAAUCAGUCGCGUCUGAAGGGCCUAUCGAAAGAGGAAAUUGAGAAAAUAAGGCGCAAUGCUAGAAAAAAGUUAAAUUCAAAGAAAAAUAUUAAUGUGGGUCUGAAUCCUCCCAUUCUAGAAGAAAUAUCACCUGCCGCACAGGAAACUCAGAAAAUCGAUAUUGCACGAAAAGGAAAUAAUGAUGUUCCUCAUCUAGAAGUUGAAGGCAGGUAUACACCUUCAACACAAACCAAUGGAAAAAUCACUGAUGUAUCACCGUAUCAGAGUACUCCUACAAUCGACAAAGUUACACCAGGUGAUGACAAAGAAGCGGAAUAUCCAUUCAGAAAGGAUGAUUCUGAUUCGGAUGAUUAUUUUGUAGAUGAAGCUGCCCCAUCAAGUUUCACGCCUAACAUCAAAGCUGAACCUUUGAGCGAUGAUAAUGAGGAAAUAAGGAUAAUUGAACCGAGUAUAGUUGUGAGGAAUAAUGAAUCGAAAGUCCUAUCUGACGAUGAGUUGCCUACGUUAGAAAGGAUGGAUUUGCCCCCAUUGCAAAUCAAAAUUCAAGAUUUUUAUAGUGUGGAUGUGAAAAGGGAAGAAUUAAAUAUGUUGACUAAUGAAGGGGAUCGGGACAAUCCUUUUUUAGUUGUCGAAGAUCUGAAAACUUGUAGGAGGAUAGGUUUAAAAAAUGAAGAAAGCAGUGUGUUCAAGUGUAUGCAAUGCAGUUUCGAAACAAAGCAUAGGUUUUGUGCGGACAGACAUUCUAAAUGGCAUGGAAAAACGAAAAAGAAGCUUUACGAAUGUCAACUCUGUUCAUAUCGAAUAUCGAACAAAAUAGCGUAUGAACGCCAUAUGAGAUUCCAUAAAGAGAAGUCUUCUUUUGAUGAUAUUCCUGUUUUAUAUCCAUUUACCAUGCAAUACUAACUGGACUGUUCACACUGUUCUGAAACUUUCAAGGAUUCUGAAACUAAAAUGAUGUUUUUGAAAAUUUCGCGUUUCGCCAACAUGGGUAAUUGGCAUCUUCAGGCAUUAUUUGCUUCUUUUGAACCGUCCCUGUUUUCCAGAGAUUUGGUAGAAAUUGCAGAAAAAAUAAGCUCCAAAAGAGAGAGAACUCGAAAGAGAAAAAACAAUCUUCAUGCCCCCUUGAAGAGGCCAACUCAUGCCUCCAAAACACUGAGUAUAUCACUGGAAAUAAACGACAAUCCACAAUCCUGAAAAGAAAACAAAUAAAGUGAAUGUGUCAUUCUGUUCUUUUUGUGAUUAUUUUUUCGAUUUAUUUGGAAUAUAUCAGUUUGGGUAUUGUCAAGUGCAGCGUGAUAAUGUUUAUACCCAUAUGUGUAUAUAUACAAAAUUUUGUAUUUUUUUUAUUUCACAAUAAAUUUUUUUAUUUUCAGAA
rnacentral:misc_RNA from 1 species